GACGAACGCUGGCGGCGUGCUUAACACAUGCAAGUCGAACGGAAAGGCCCUGCUUUUUUGGGGUGCUCGAGUGGCGAACGGGUGAGUAACACGUAAGUAACCUGCCCUUGACUUUGGGAUAACUUCAGGAAACUGGGGCUAAUACCGGAUAGGAGCUCCUGCUGCAUGGUGGGGGUUGGAAAGUUUCGGCGGUUGGGGAUGGACUCGCGGCUUAUCAGCUUGUUGGUGGGGUAGUGGCUUAUCAAGGCUUUGACGGGUAGCCGGCCUGAGAGGGUGACCGGCCACAUUGGGACUGAGAUACGGCCCAGACGCCUACGGUAGGCAGCGGUGGGGAAUAUUGCACAAUGGGCGGAAGCGUGAUGCAGCAGCGCCGCGGGCGGGAUGAGGGCCUGCGGGUUGUAAACCGCUUUCGCCUGUGACGAAGCGUGAGUGACGGUAAUGGGUAAAGAAGCACCGGCUAACUACGUG
rnacentral:rRNA from 1 species